rnacentral:rRNA from 1 species
UUUAAGGUCUAAUCUGCCCUAUGAGGAGUUAAAUGGCCGCGGUAUUUUGACCGUGCAAAGGUAGCAUAAUAAUUAGUUUUUUAAUUGAAAGCUGGAAUGAAUGAUUGGACGAGAAAAUUACUGUCUCGAAUUAAUUUAAUUAGAAUUUUAUUUUUAAGUAAAAAAGCUUAAAUUUUUUUAAAAGACGAGAAGACCCUAUAGAGUUUUAUAUAUUUUAUUAUUUUGAAAUUUUUAGAAUUGUUUGUUUGUUAUUUUAAAAUAUAUUUUAUUGGGGUGAUAGAAAAAUUGAAUUAACUUUUUUUACAUUAAAACAUUUAUUUAUGAUUAAAUGAUCCAUUUUUUAUGAUUAUAAGAUUAAAUUACCUUAGGGAUAACAGCGUAAUUUUUUUUUAGAGUUCUUAUCGAAAGAAGAGAUUGCGACCUCGAUGUUGGAUUAAAAUAGACGUUUGGUGUAGGGGCUAAAUAGUUAGGUCUGUUCGACCUUUAAAAUUUUACA